rnacentral:rRNA from 1 species
GGGUUGUGAGGUUAAGCGACUAAGCGUACACGGUGGAUGCCCUGGCAGUCAGAGGCGAUGAAGGACGUGCUAAUCUGCGAUAAGCGUCGGUAAGGUGAUAUGAACCGUUAUAACCGGCGAUUUCCGAAUGGGGAAACCCAGUGUGUUUCGACACACUAUCAUUAACUGAAUCCAUAGGUUAAUGAGGCGAACCGGGGGAACUGAAACAUCUAAGUACCCCGAGGAAAAGAAAUCAACCGAGAUUCCCCCAGUAGCGGCGAGCGAACGGGGAGGAGCCCAGAGCCUGAAUCAGUGUGUGUGUUAGUGGAAGCGUCUGGAAAGGCGCGCGAUACAGGGUGACAGCCCCGUACACAAAAAUGCACAUGCUGUGAGCUCGAUGAGUAGGGCGGGACACGUGGUAUCCUGUCUGAAUAUGGGGGGACCAUCCUCCAAGGCUAAAUACUCCUGACUGACCGAUAGUGAACCAGUACCGUGAGGGAAAGGCGAAAAGAACCCCGGCGAGGGGAGUGAAAAAGAACCUGAAACCGUGUACGUACAAGCAGUGGGAGCCUCUUUUAUGGGGUGACUGCGUACCUUUUGUAUAAUGGGUCAGCGACUUAUAUUCUGUAGCAAGGUUAACCGAAUAGGGGAGCCGAAGGGAAACCGAGUCUUAACUGGGCGUUAAGUUGCAGGGUAUAGACCCGAAACCCGGUGAUCUAGCCAUGGGCAGGUUGAAGGUUGGGUAACACUAACUGGAGGACCGAACCGACUAAUGUUGAAAAAUUAGCGGAUGACUUGUGGCUGGGGGUGAAAGGCCAAUCAAACCGGGAGAUAGCUGGUUCUCCCCGAAAGCUAUUUAGGUAGCGCCUCGUGAAUUCAUCUCCGGGGGUAGAGCACUGUUUCGGCAAGGGGGUCAUCCCGACUUACCAACCCGAUGCAAACUGCGAAUACCGGAGAAUGUUAUCACGGGAGACACACGGCGGGUGCUAACGUCCGUCGUGAAGAGGGAAACAACCCAGACCGCCAGCUAAGGUCCCAAAGUCAUGGUUAAGUGGGAAACGAUGUGGGAAGGCCCAGACAGCCAGGAUGUUGGCUUAGAAGCAGCCAUCAUUUAAAGAAAGCGUAAUAGCUCACUGGUCGAGUCGGCCUGCGCGGAAGAUGUAACGGGGCUAAACCAUGCACCGAAGCUGCGGCAGCGACACUAUGUGUUGUUGGGUAGGGGAGCGUUCUGUAAGCCUGUGAAGGUGUGCUGUGAGGCAUGCUGGAGGUAUCAGAAGUGCGAAUGCUGACAUAAGUAACGAUAAAGCGGGUGAAAAGCCCGCUCGCCGGAAGACCAAGGGUUCCUGUCCAACGUUAAUCGGGGCAGGGUGAGUCGACCCCUAAGGCGAGGCCGAAAGGCGUAGUCGAUGGGAAACAGGUUAAUAUUCCUGUACUUGGUGUUACUGCGAAGGGGGGACGGAGAAGGCUAUGUUGGCCGGGCGACGGUUGUCCCGGUUUAAGCGUGUAGGCUGGUUUUCCAGGCAAAUCCGGAAAAUCAAGGCUGAGGCGUGAUGACGAGGCACUACGGUGCUGAAGCAACAAAUGCCCUGCUUCCAGGAAAAGCCUCUAAGCAUCAGGUAACAUCAAAUCGUACCCCAAACCGACACAGGUGGUCAGGUAGAGAAUACCAAGGCGCUUGAGAGAACUCGGGUGAAGGAACUAGGCAAAAUGGUGCCGUAACUUCGGGAGAAGGCACGCUGAUAUGUAGGUGAAGUCCCUCGCGGAUGGAGCUGAAAUCAGUCGAAGAUACCAGCUGGCUGCAACUGUUUAUUAAAAACACAGCACUGUGCAAACACGAAAGUGGACGUAUACGGUGUGACGCCUGCCCGGUGCCGGAAGGUUAAUUGAUGGGGUCAGCGCAAGCGAAGCUCUUGAUCGAAGCCCCGGUAAACGGCGGCCGUAACUAUAACGGUCCUAAGGUAGCGAAAUUCCUUGUCGGGUAAGUUCCGACCUGCACGAAUGGCGUAAUGAUGGCCAGGCUGUCUCCACCCGAGACUCAGUGAAAUUGAACUCGCUGUGAAGAUGCAGUGUACCCGCGGCAAGACGGAAAGACCCCGUGAACCUUUACUAUAGCUUGACACUGAACAUUGAGCCUUGAUGUGUAGGAUAGGUGGGAGGCUUAGAAGUGUGGACGCCAGUCUGCAUGGAGCCGACCUUGAAAUACCACCCUUUAAUGUUUGAUGUUCUAACGUUGACCCGUGAUCCGGGUUGCGGACAGUGUCUGGUGGGUAGUUUGACUGGGGCGGUCUCCUCCUAAAGAGUAACGGAGGAGCACGAAGGUUGGCUAAUCCUGGUCGGACAUCAGGAGGUUAGUGCAAUGGCAUAAGCCAGCUUGACUGCGAGCGUGACGGCGCGAGCAGGUGCGAAAGCAGGUCAUAGUGAUCCGGUGGUUCUGAAUGGAAGGGCCAUCGCUCAACGGAUAAAAGGUACUCCGGGGAUAACAGGCUGAUACCGCCCAAGAGUUCAUAUCGACGGCGGUGUUUGGCACCUCGAUGUCGGCUCAUCACAUCCUGGGGCUGAAGUAGGUCCCAAGGGUAUGGCUGUUCGCCAUUUAAAGUGGUACGCGAGCUGGGUUUAGAACGUCGUGAGACAGUUCGGUCCCUAUCUGCCGUGGGCGCUGGAGAACUGAGGGGGGCUGCUCCUAGUACGAGAGGACCGGAGUGGACGCAUCACUGGUGUUCGGGUUGUCAUGCCAAUGGCACUGCCCGGUAGCUAAAUGCGGAAGAGAUAAGUGCUGAAAGCAUCUAAGCACGAAACUUGCCCCGAGAUGAGUUCUCCCUGACCCUUUAAGGGUCCUGAAGGAACGUUGAAGACGACGACGUUGAUAGGCCGGGUGUGUAAGCGCAGCGAUGCGUUGAGCUAACCGGUACUAAUGAACCGUGAGGCUUAACCUUACAACGCCGAAGGUGUUU